CCCCACACAGUCACAAUGGUUGCCGUGUCAGAGAACCUGUGGGUGCCACAGAAACUUGUGUGACUGCGUGGGGUAGACAGGCCCUCCUAAUGCGCCCGGGCCUUCCGAGCUAGCGCCCUCCCCGCACCCCGCCGCACACCUCUGUGAUCAUCACCACAUCCCUGUGGGGCCCCGGCCAGAAACCCCUGCCUCGUGCACAGCGGACAGCACUGUUUCAGAAUCCGGGGCCUGCUUUGUCACAGAGAUGUAGCGGGUAACGUUCUUCAGUAUCUGCAGCUCCAGGUCCUGCAACACAACCUGCAGAGCGUCCUUGCUCACGAAGCGAGAGGAAAGCUUCUGUAGCAGCCAUUCAAGAGAAGCGCCUUGCUCGUCGGAGAACAGGAGUCUGAUGGUUUCUCUGACUCGGGCAUCUACCUAGUAAAAGCAUUAGUAAGCACAA